rnacentral:rRNA from 1 species
CUAAUGGGGUUAGGUAUCACUUAACUGAAUACAUAGGUUUCGUGAGGCGAACCCGGCGAACUGAAACAUCUCAGUAGCUGGAGGAAAAGACAUCAACCGAGAUUCCGUUAGUAGUGGCGAGCGAACGCGGACCAGGCCAGUGCCUGAUGGUGAAUUAGCAGAACGAUUUGGAAAGAUCGGCCAUAGCGGGUGACAGCCCCGUAUGCGAAAAUGAAACAUCAGGACUCGAGUAGGGCGGAACACGUGUAAUUCUGUCUGAACAUAGGGGGACCACCCUCUAAGCCUAAAUACUCGUAUGCGACCGAUAGUGAACUAGUACCGUGAGGGAAAGGUGAAAAGCACCCCGAUGAGGGGAGUGAAACAGUACCUGAAACGGAUUGCCUACAAGCAGUUGGAGGGUCCUUGAGGCCUGACAGCGUACCUCUUGCAUAAUGGGUCUGUGACUUAAUGUAUCAAGCAAGCUUAAGCCGUUAGGUGUAGGCGCAGCGAAAGCGAGUCUGAAUAGGGCGCCAGAGUUUGAUGUAUUAGACCCGAAACCCGGCGAUCUAUGCAUGACCAGGAUGAAGGUGCGGUAACACGCACUGGAGGUCCGAACCGAUUAACGUUGAAAAGUUACCGGAUGAGUUGUGCUUAGGGGUGAAAGGCCAAUCAAGCCGGGAAAUAGCUGGUUCUCCGCGAAAACUAUUGAGGUAGUGCCUCGGAUGGACACCUUGGGGGGUAGAGCACUGGAUGGAUGCGGGGGUCGCGAGACCUACCAACUCUAACCAAACUCCGAAUACCCAAGAGUGAUAUCCGGGAGACAGACGGCGGGUGCUAAGGUCCGUCGUCAAAAGGGAAACAGCCCUGACCUACAGCUAAGGUCCCCAAGUCGUGUCUAAGUGGGAAAGCAUGUGGAACUUCCAAAACAACCAGGAGGUUGGCUUAGAAGCAGCCAUCCUUUAAAGAAAGCGUAACAGCUCACUGGUCUAAAUAAGAGGUUCUGCGGCGAAGAUGUAACGGGGCUCAAGACACGCACCGAAGCUUAGGGUGUGCCAUUUAUAUGGUACGCGGUAGCGGAGCGUUCCGUAAGCCUGUGAAGCGAUCUGGUAAUGGGUCGUGGAGGUAUCGGAAGUGCGAAUGCAGACAUGAGUAGCGAUAAAAAGGGUGAGAUGCCCUUUCGCCGAAAGACCAAGGGUUCCUGCGCAAGGCUAAUCCGCGCAGGGUGAGUCGGCCCCUAAGACGAGCCCGAAGGGGGUAGUCGAUGGGAACACGGUUAAUAUUCCGUGACCUGGUGGUGUGUGACGGAUCUCGUGUGUUGUCUUCCCUUAUUGGAUUGGGAAGGCUUCGAAGAGGUCCCAGGAAAUAGCCCCACCGUAUAGACCGUACCCGAAACCGACACAGGUGGUCAGGUAGAGUAUACCAAGGCGCUUGAGAGAAGUGUCCUGAAGGAACUCGGCAAAUUGCCUCCGUACCUUCGGAAGAAGGAGGCCCCAACUAAGCGCAAGCUCUGUUGGGGGGCACAGGCCAGGGGGUAGCGACUGUUUAGCAAAAACACAGGGCUCUGCUAAGUCGGCUUCAAGACGACGUAUAGGGCCUGACGCCUGCCCGGUGCCUGAAGGUUAAGUGGAGGGGUGCAAGCUCUGAAAUGAAGCCCAGGUAAACGGCGGCCGUAACUAUAACGGUCCUAAGGUAGCGAAAUUCCUUGUCGGGUAAGUUCCGACCUGCACGAAUGGCGUAACGACUUCCCCACUGUCUCCAGGACAUGCUCAGCGAAAUUGAAUUCCCCGUGAAGAUGCGGGGUUCCCGCGGUUAGACGGAAAGACCCCGUGCACCUUUACUGCAGCUUCAGAGUGGCAUUAGGAAGAAACUGUGUAGCAUAGGUGGGAGGCUAUGAAGCGUUGGCGCCAGCUGACGUGGAGCCAUAGGUGAAAUACCACCCUGUU